GAAACGACUGCUAAGACUGGAUAGGAAAAGUAAGGGCAUCUUUACUUUUUUAAAAGACCUUCUUUGAAGGUAUGCUUAAGGAGGGGCUUGCGACACAUUAGUUAGUUGGCAGGGUAAAGGCCUACCAAGACUAUGAUGUGUAGCUGGACUGAGAGGUUGAACAGCCACAUUGGGACUGAGACACGGCCCAAACUCCUACGGGAGGCAGCAGUAGGGAAUUUUCGGCAAUGGAGGAAACUCUGACCGAGCAACGCCGCGUGAACGAUGAAGUACCUCGGUAUGUAAAGUUCUUUUAUUAAGGAAGAAAAAAGAGUGGAAAAACUCCCUUGACGGUACUUAAUGAAUAAGCCCCGGCUAAUUAUGUGCCAGCAGCCGCGGCAAUACAUAAGGGGCGAGCGUUAUCCGGAAUUAUUGGGCGUAAAGGGUGCGUAGGCGGUUUAAUAAGUCUAUAGUUUAAUUUCAGCGCUUAACGCCGUUGUGCUAUAGAAACUGUUUUACUAGAGUGAGUUAGAGGCAAGCGGAAUUCCAUGUGUAGCGGUAAAAUGCGUAAAUAUAUGGAGGAACACCAGAGGCGUAGGCGGCUUGCUGGGACUUUACUGACGCUGAGGCACGAAAGCGUGGGGAGCAAACAGGAUUAGAUACCCUGGUAGUCCACGCCGUAAACGAUGAGUACUAAGUGUCGGGUAAAACCGGUACUGAAGUUAACACAUUAAGUACUCCGCCUGAGUAGUACGUACGCAAGUAUGAAACUUAAAGGAAUUGACGGGACUCCGCACAAGCGGUGGAUCAUGUUGUUUAAUUCGAAGAUACACGAAAAACCUUACCAGGUCUUGACAUUUUCUUGCGAAGUUAUAGAAAUAUAAUGAAGGUUAUCAGGAAAACAGGUGGUGCAUGGUUGUCGUCAGCUCGUGUCGUGAGAUGUUAGGUUAAGUUCUAAAACGAGCGCAACCCUUGUCGUUAAUUGCCAGCAUGUAAUGAUGGGGACUUUAACGAGACUGCCAAUGAAAAAUUGGAGGAAGGUGGGGAUUACGUCAAAUCAUCAUGCCCCUUAUGAUCUGGGCUACAAACGUGAUACAAUGGUUGAUACAAAGAGUAGCUGAAACGCGAGUUCUUAGCCAAUCUCACAAAAUCAAUCUCAGUUCGGAUUGAAGUCUGCAACUCGACUUCAUGAAGUUGGAAUCGCUAGUAAUCGCGAAUCAGCAUGUCGCGGUGAAUACGUUCUCGGGGUUUGUACACACCGCCCGUCA
rnacentral:rRNA from 1 species